rnacentral:misc_RNA from 1 species
GAUGAAGAACGCAGCGAAAUGCGAUAAGUAAUGUGAAUUGCAGAAUUCAGUGAAUCAUCGAAUCUUUGAACGCACAUUGCGCCCCCCAGUAUUCUGGCGGGCAUGCCUGUUCGAGCGUCAUUUCAACCAUCAAGCCCUGCUUGUGUUGGGGUCCUGCGGCUGCCCGCAGGCCCUGAAAACCAGUGGCGGGCUCGCUAGUCACACCGAGCGCAGUAGCACAUCUCGCUCAGGGCGUGCGGCGGGCUCCAGCCGUUAAAGCACCCACCUUUCGCAAGGUUGACCUCGGAUCAGGAAGGAAUACCCGCUGACCUUAAGCAUAUCAAUAAGCGGAGGA